GACGGGAGCAACGGAACGCAACGGACCCACAAUUCAGUUCGGCAACGGAUGACGUAAGCCCAUGUAAAGUGGAUGGGAUGCAUCUCCAGCACUGCACCGCACACAACUGUGUGUAGGAGCCAGUAUAGUCUGAAAAA